rnacentral:rRNA from 1 species
UGGGGAAUAUUGGACAAUGGGCGCAAGCCUGAUCCAGCCAUGCCGCGUGAGUGAUGACGGCCUUAGGGUUGUAAAGCUCUUUUCUCCGGGACGAUAAUGACGGUACCGGAGGAAUAAGCCCCGGCUAACUUCGUGCCAGCAGCCGCGGUAAUACGAAGGGGGCUAGCGUUGCUCGGAAUCACUGGGCGUAAAGGGCGCGUAGGCGGCGUUUUAAGUCGGGGGUGAAAGCCUGUGGCUCAACCACAGAAUGGCCUUCGAUACUGGGACGCUUGAGUCUGGUAGAGGUUGGUGGAACUGCGAGUGUAGAGGUGAAAUUCGUAGAUAUUCGCAAGAACACCGGUGGCGAAGGCGGCCAACUGGACCAGUACUGACGAUGAGGCGCGAAAGCGUGGGGAGCAAACAGG